UACGUAGGGUGCAAGCGUUAAUCGGAAUUACUGGGCGUAAAGCGUGCGCAGGCGGUUAUGUAAGACAGGUGUGAAAUCCCCGGGCUUAACCUGGGAACUGCAUUUGUGACUGCAUAGCUAGAGUACGGUAGAGGGGGAUGGAAUUCCGCGUGUAGCAGUGAAAUGCGUAGAUAUGCGGAGGAACACCGAUGGCGAAGGCAAUCCGCUGGACCUGUACUGACGCUCAUGCACGAAAGCGUGGGGAGCAAACAGG
rnacentral:rRNA from 1 species